UACGGAGGGUGCAAGCGUUAUCCGGAUUCACUGGGUUUAAAGGGUGCGUAGGUGGGCAGGUAAGUCAGUGGUGAAAUCUCCGGGCUCGACCCGGAAACUGCCAUUGAUACUAUCAGUCUUGAAUAUCGUGGAGGUAAGCGGAAUAUGUCAUGUAGCGGUGAAAUGCUUAGAUAUGACAUAGAACACCAAUUGCGAAGGCAGCUUACUACCCGAAUAUUGACACUGAGGCACGAAAGCGUGGGGAUCAAACAGG
rnacentral:rRNA from 1 species